rnacentral:tRNA from 1 species
GUUGUCGUGGCCGAGUGGUUAAGGCGAUGGACUCGAAAUCCAUUGGGGUUUCCCCGCGCAGGUUCAGGUUCAAAUCCUGCCGAUAACG